ACCCCCGAAAGAUCCAGGGAGAAGAGACUGGCACCCACCGGACCAGCAGCUUAGCCGAUAGAGCCGGACUCAGAGUUCCAGGCAAGGCUCUCACAGGAAACCUGGUUAUAAUCAUAUCGUCUGUGGCUCCUGGAGACCAAGUGUCCCAUCCUUCCUUGGUGUGGCACAGACAAUGCUAUAUGCUCAUGAGACCAUCUCAUUUCUCUUCUGGGCUUGUAGGAAAAGUACAUUUCCAACUCCAUGGACCUUGAAAGCUGUUCUUUGGACCCAGCAAAGCCCCACCGUGGUUGGAACGUGGGUCUCUGAGUGACUGCGUGGAGAAGAACCACUACCCUCUGCCCAAUGUAUUGGUGACAUCAGUGAGCUGUAAACUGUUAUUGGACUAAGCCAUCAAGAUUUGGGCGUUUGUUUGUUACCACAGCAACACCUGCUUUGCACGGACUAAUACAUCAUGUUCACAGACA